AAAAUGGUUUCUUUUGAAACCAAAGACCAUAUAAUUCAGAUAGGAAU
rfam:Nomascus leucogenys chromosome 7b, whole genome shotgun sequence.